rnacentral:rRNA from 1 species
UGCCAGCAGCCGCGGUAAUACGAGGGGCGCAAGCGUUGUCCGGAUUCAUUGGGUGUAAAGGGUGCGUAGGUGGAUUGGUAAGUUAGAAUUUAAAUCCCGCAGCUUAACUGCGGACCUGGUUCUAAAACUGCUGAUCUUGAGUUCGAAAGAGGGGAGUGGAAUUCCUAGUGUAGCGGUGGAAUGCGUAGAUAUUAGGAGGAACACCAGUGGCGAAGGCGGCUCUCUGGUUCGAUACUGACACUAAGGCACGAAAGCAUGGGGAGCAAACAGGAUUAGAUAC